rnacentral:rRNA from 1 species
GAUGAACGCUGGCGGCGUGCCUAAUACAUGCAAGUCGAGCGAACAGAUAAGGAGCUUGCUCCUUUGACGUUAGCGGCGGACGGGUGAGUAACACGUGGAUAACCUACCUAUAAGACUGGGAUAACUUCGGGAAACCGGAGCUAAUACCGGAUAACAUAUUGAACCGCAUGGUUCAAUAGUGAAAGGCGGCUUUGCUGUCACUUAUAGAUGGAUCCGCGCCGUAUUAGCUAGUUGGUAAGGUAACGGCUUACCAAGGCAACGAUACGUAGCCGACCUGAGAGAGUGAUCGGCCACACUGGAACUGAGACACGGUCCAGACUCCUACGGGAGGCAGCAGUAGGGAAUCUGCCGCAAUAGGCGAAAGCCUGACGGAGCAACGCCGCGUGAGUGAUGAAGGUCUUCGGAUCGUAAAACUCUGUUAUCAGGGAAGAACAGAUGUGUAAGUAACUGUGCACAUCUUGACGGUACCUGAUCAGAAAGCCACGGCUAACUACGUG